GUUUAGCCCCGAUUGCAGCGGCAUCCUUUUGUGCAAUGCAAUGGAACAAAAGAUAGAGCGAAAAGCGGGACAAGUG
rnacentral:sRNA from 1 species